AAUAUUGCACAAUGGAGGGAACUCUGAUGCAGCGACGCCGCGUGAGUGAUGAAGGCUUUCGAGUCGUAAAACUCUGUCCUUGGGGACGAUAAUGACGGUACCCAAGGAGGAAGCCCCGGCUAACUACGUGCCAGCAGCCGCGGUAAUACGUAGGGGGCGAGCGUUGUCCGGAAUUAUUGGGCGUAAAGGGUUCGCAGGCGGCCGAUUAAGUCAGAUGUGAAAUCCCACGGCUUAACCGUGGUAAGCAUUUGAAACUGAUUGGCUUGAGUUAAGGAGAGGAAAGUGGAAUUCCUAGUGUAGCGGUGAAAUGCGUAGAUAUUAGGAGGAAUACCAGUGGCGAAGGCGACUUUCUGGACUUAUACUGACGCUGAGGAACGAAAGCGUGGGGAGCAAACA
rnacentral:rRNA from 1 species